rnacentral:rRNA from 1 species
AUUGAACGCUGGCGGCAGGCCUAACACAUGCAAGUCGAACGGUAACAGGAAGAAGCUUGCUUCUUUGCUGACGAGUGGCGGACGGGUGAGUAAUGUCUGGGAAACUGCCUGAUGGAGGGGGAUAACUACUGGAAACGGUAGCUAAUACCGCAUAACGUCGCAAGACCAAAGAGGGGGACCUUCGGGCCUCUUGCCAUCGGAUGUGCCCAGAUGGGAUUAGCUAGUAGGGGGGGUAACGGCUCACCUAGGCGACGAUCCCUAGCUGGUCUGAGAGGAUGAGCAGCCACCCUGGAACUGAGACACGGUCCAGGCUCCUACGGGAGGCAGCAGUGGGGAAUAUUGCACAAUGGGCGCAAGCCUGAUGCAGCCAUGCCGCGUGUAUGAAGAAGGCCUUCGGGUUGUAAAGUACUUUCAGCGGGGAGGAAGGGAGUAAAGUUAAUACCUUUGCUCAUUGACGUUACCCGCAGAAGAAGCACCGGCUAACUCCGUG